UACGUAGGGUGCGAGCGUUAAUCGGAAUUACUGGGCGUAAAGCGUGCGCAGGCGGUUCGUGAUGUCUGUCGUGAAAUCCCCCGGGCUCAACCUGGGAAUUGCGAUGGAGACUGCAAGGCUAGAAUCUGGCAGAGGGGGGUAGAAUUCCACGUGUAGCAGUGAAAUGCGUAGAUAUCGGGAGGAACACCAGUGGCGAAGGCGACUACCUGGCCUGUUCUUGACGCUGAGGCGCGAAAGCUAGGGGAGCAAACGGG
rnacentral:rRNA from 1 species